rnacentral:rRNA from 1 species
AGAGUUUGAUCCUGGCUCAGGAUGAACGCUAGCGGCAGGCGUAACACAUGCAAGUCGAGGGGCAGCGCGGGUAGCAAUACCUGGCGACGACCGGCGAAAGGGUGAGUAACGCGUGAGCAACGUGCCCGUAUGUGGGGGAUAGUCGAUGGAAACGUCGCGUAAUACCCCGUAACACAUUUGGCCGCAUGGCCUUAUGUUGAAAGAUUUAUUGCAUACGGAUCGGCUCGCGUGCCAUUAGGUAGACGGCGGGGUAACGGCCCACCGUGCCGACGAUGGCUAGGGGUUCUGAGAGGAAGGUCCCCCACAUUGGAACUGAGACACGGUCCAGACUCCUACGGGAGGCAGCAGUGAGGAAUAUUGGACAAUGGCCGGAAGGCUGAUCCAGCCAUGCCGCGUGCGGGAUGACGGCCCUAUGGGUUGUAAACCGCUUUUGUUUGGGAGCAAUAAGGGCAACGUGUUGUCCGAUGAGAGUACCAGACGAAUAAGCAUCGGCUAACUCCGUGCCAGCAGCCGCGGUAAUACGGAGGAUGCGAGCGUUAUCCGGAUUUAUUGGGUUUAAAGGGUGCGUAGGCGGAUGAUUAAGCGUGAGGUGAAAUGCCACUGCUCAACAGUGGAACUGCCUCGCGAACUGGUCGUCUUGAAUGCUCCUGCCGUGGGAGGAAUGUGUGGUGUAGCGGUGAAAUGCAUAGAGAUCACACAGAACACCGAUUGCGAAGGCAUCUCACGAAGGGGUGAUUGACGCUGAGGCACGAAAGCGUGGGGAUCAAACAGGAUUAGAUACCCUGGUAGUCCACGCAGUAAACGAUGAUGACUUGUUGUCGGCGAUAGACGGUCGGCGACAAAGCGAAAGCGAUAAGUCAUCCACCUGGGGAGUACGAUCGCAAGGUUGAAACUCAAAGGAAUUGACGGGGGCCCGCACAAGCGGAGGAGCAUGUGGUUUAAUUCGAUGAUACGCGAGGAACCUUACCUAGACUCAAAUGUUGGGCGACAGGGCCAGAGAUGGCCUUUUCCCUCGGGACGCCCAGCAAGGCGCUGCAUGGUUGUCGUCAGCUCGUGCCGGGAGGAGCACGGGUAAGUCCUAGAACCGACGCACACCCU